CGGUGCGGUAAGAGCGCACCAGCGGCGCGGAGACGCGUCGGCUAGGUAAACCCCACCUGGAGCAAGACCGCAUAGGAGCGCACGUGUGGCGGCCCGUCACGCGCUCGGGUAGGUUGCUUGAGCGGCAUGGAGACAUGUCGCCUAGAUAGAUGAUUGCCACCUCGACUCGUGCGAGGCAAGCAUGCGCGUGCGCGCGACUCUCGAGAUCGCACGCAGGGCGCUUGCCGCUUGCAGCACGUGAGGACACAGAACUCGGCUUAUUGCUUGCUUCGUCUA
rnacentral:RNase_P_RNA from 1 species